rnacentral:rRNA from 1 species
GACGAACGCUGGCGGCGUGCUUAACACAUGCAAGUCGAACGGAAAGGCCCCUUUGGGGGUACUCGAGUGGCGAACGGGUGAGUAACACGUGAGUAACCUGCCCUUGACUUCGGGAUAACUUCAGGAAACUGGGGCUAAUACCGGAUAGGAAUCCUUGCUGCAUGGUGGGGGUUGGAAAGCUUCGGCGGUUUUGGAUGGACUCGCGGCUUAUCAGCUUGUUGGUGGGGUAGUGGCUUACCAAGGCUUUGACGGGUAGCCGGCCUGAGAGGGCGACCGGCCACAUUGGGACUGAGAUACGGCCCAGACUCCUACGGGAGGCAGCAGUGGGGAAUAUUGCACGAUGGGCGGAAGCCUGAUGCAGCAACGCCGCGUGCGGGAUGACGGCCUUCGGGUUGUAAACCGCGUUCAGCAGGGGCGAAGCUUGUGGUGACGGUACCUGCAGAAGAAGCACCGGCUAACUACGUG